CGUUGGCCCCUUGAGUUAGAAAGUUUUAAUUAUUCGAUAGCACAUAGGCCGGGUUCAUGUAUGGCUCAUGUCGAUGCACUAAGUAGGCAAACGGAGUUGUUAGCUGAUGACGUUGUUGAAGGAGUUUACGAUCCGUGUGUGACACCGUCUAUGAUUAAAAAUCCGUGUGUACCUAAAAUACCUUGUGAACCUGAAAACCCGGUUGAACCUAAAAUACCUUGUAAACCUGAAAACCCGGUGGAACCUAAAAUACCUUGUGAACCUGAAAACCCGGUUGAACCUAAAUAACCUUGUAAACCUGAAAAUUCGAUUGAAUCCGUGAAAGUAUUCCCCGAAGUUAGUAAACUUGUUGGAAGUGUUGGAGCAGACCCAUGCGACAUUGACUUGCUUUUGCAAACGGAGCAGAUGAGGGAUGACGAAGUGCGUACCUUGCGACAGAAAUUGGAGAAAGGAGAGAUAGAACGGUUUGUUUUAAUUGAUGGAAUAAUUUAUAGAAAGAAUGAUAACGGAAGGUUAUGUUUGUAUGCCCCAACUCAAAUGCAAGAACAGUUGAUCAGAUUAAGUCAUGAAAAGUUCGGUCACCUUGGAGUUGAUAAAUGUGUUGAUGACCUGAAAAAUAAGUAUUGGUUUCCGUUGUUGAGAAGCAAAGUUGAAUCCUUUAUUCGCAAUUGUUUGCCAUGCAUCCUUCAUUAAGUACCUAAAAGUGUCCAUGACCGUACCCUCCAUAGUAUUCCGAAGGUCUCAAUUCCGUUUGAUACCAUUUACAUUGACCAUUUGGGUCCGUUGCCUUGUAUCAAUUCAAAAAGAAAACACCUGUUAGUUACUAUCGACGCUUUUACCAAAUUCGUGAAAUUGUACCCAGUUCAUUCUACCAGUACCAAAGAAGUUAAUGCCAGUCUUUCAAAGUACUUUGAGUAUUAUAGCCGACCGCGACGAAUUAUUUCGGAUCGUGGUACCUGUUUUACAUCAUUUGAGUUUUCUAGUUUAUUAAGUGAGAGAAAUAUAGGGCUCGUUAAAGUUGCUACCGCAGCCCCUCAGGCGAACGGUCAGGUGGAACGCAAAAACAUAGUGUUAACCCCGAUGUUAGGUAAACUAUCCGAGCCGUUGAACCAAUCCGAUUGGUACAAGUUGGUCAACCGAGUUGAAUUUGCAAUUAAUAAUUCCGUUCAGAAGAAUACUGGAAAAACUCCUAGUAUUUUGCUUUUUGGUAGCAACCAGCGAAGACCCGUUCUAGACGAAUUAUCCGAAUAUCUUGAGGAGAAGUUUAGCCUUUCUAACCCGUGUGAUAUUACAUCCGAAAGGAUAAAAGCUAAUGAGAAUAUUAAACGGUCACAAGCUCGUAAUGAAUCCAUAUAUGCCCUAAGACACAAAGCACUCAUGAAGUAUAAUAAUAAUGACUUUGUUGCUAUUCGCAAUGUUGAUGUUAGGCCUGGACAUUGUAAGAAAUUCGCACCUAAAUACCGUGGGCCAUACAAAAUUAGUCGAGUACUUCCCAACGAUCGCUACGAGGUAACCGAUAUAAAAGAUUGUCAGCUCACACAACUGCCUUAUAGAGAAAUACUGGAAGCUGCAAGGUUAAAGCCGUGGAUGCAAGUGUGUAAUAAGACUGUAGGAUUGUGCGUGUGAUGAACGAGGCCGAUCAAAUGUCAGGUUGCCCGAAUGUAAACAUCUAGUCAAUAUCAUGACGAACUAGUAGCUUUAGGUGUGAAUUGUACAUAUAUAAUAAUCGAUAAGUGAUGUGAACCGAUAGACGGACACAUAAAUUUAAGAUAGGAUUUAAGAGAACGAGGGGACGGUCACUUUAGACCGGCUUUUGGUGAGAAGAACUAGUUUUUGGAGAGCAAAAAACUUAAUAAAAUAAAACGAAGAACAUCCUAGUGGCUUCUAAAAAACUAAGAACGAACAACUCCUUAAGAACAUUUUCCCAAAUUUUCAUAGAGAUUCAAGCAGUAGAAAAAAAGGUACAGCGCUCCUAACCGCGCGCCUCGUUGCGGCCCGACUUUGAAACUUGCAACUUUAAACGCGAAUAUCUCGAAAUGGUGCUUCUUGAAAAAUGACUUCGCGGUGAUAUGGAUACAUCAAAUUUUUUUUUUAAAUGUUCGUAAUGAAAUUUUUCUGUGCUUGAACGAUUGACUUUUCACGCACAAACUUUUUUUUCGCCGAAAUGAAUCUUUUAGAGAAAUUUCUAGCGACCAAAAAGUUCAUUUUGAGCAUAAAACGUGACCUGUUCGACCUGGGAAAGUAUCACCGCAAGGCUCUUCAAAAAAAAGGCCUCUAAGGGAAACAGCCACCCCUUAAAAACUAUUUAUUAUUUUUCCACGAAAUUUUGCACAAACAUUGUUAAUAAAGUGUACUAUCAAAAAAUUAAAACAUUCGCGUAAUGAAAUAAUUGCUACAUACCUAAAAAAAAUCCAAACUUUCCUCUUUUUCUUCGACAAAGAAGGUAUAUAACCCUUAAAGACAAAGGCGAUAUCAAGAUACUUUAUUGGAAUGAAAAUACAAUAGAAGUGGGCCAAGAUCAGAUAUCUUUAAGUCAGUCUGCUUACAUAAAAAAAGUUUUAAGUAAGUUUAAUGUGGAAGAUUGCAAAUCUGUACAUACUCCACUUUCAAGUAAGCUAGAUUAUGAAAUGUUAAAUUUAGACGAAAUUUAUGAUGCUCCUUGUCGAAAUUUAAUUGGUAGUUUAAUGUAUAUAAUGCUUUGUACACGACCGGAUACAACUACUGCCAUCAAUAUCCUAAUUAUAUAUAUUAUAUUAUAGCUAAGUUCAGAACCCGGGGGGGCAACGCCAACCGAUAGUUCAUCAAGACAUGCUAAAUACUAGAAAAGCAAAGGAGCUAAAAUACCAGUAGUAGGAAAAUACUAGAAAUUCCGAAUGCAGGAAAAGGGCGGAAAAUGGAAAACGGUAACGGAGCGAUCGUGGCGUCUCUCCUCUCGGGAUCGCGGAACGGGUAAGACGUGUGAUCUGGACACGGCCUAGCGAGGCUUCGAAAGUCACGUGUGCCCCUCGAACUUUUCCGCUGGUGGGGAAUCGUAUCACAGGCCAGCCUGGACGCCUGACGCGACCACUCCCCGCCUUCUGAUUGCGCGUGCACUGACAACCGAAGGCGACCAAGUUUUAUGCGGUAGUUACGCGGACGAUUUCAAGACACACAUUUAUAUCUAAACAAGUCAGCUGAGGUUAGUACGACCAGAUUCUCAUGUGCUCAAAACGGACCCGAAAGCGGACCCGAGUGAGGAUAAAUUGAAUAAACGGAAAAGAAUAUAUAAUUGCACCUCUCGAUCGUGUGUUUCCUUCUCGCACCAAGUCUAACCUAACCUUACUCCGUUCACAUUGCUACUUCGGACCUGAAUGUGGACCCUCUUCCCGUUCAGUCCGGUAGUUUCCUACCUCUGUAGUCUUGGGAUCUGCGCGUGGACACCCUUUCCGCCUUAUCCAGAAUCCUAGUUUUUCUGCCUCUUCCGUAGUUUUGGGAUUUGCGCGUGGACACCGUUCCCUUUGCGCGUGGACAACCUUUCCGCCUUAUCCGCAAUUCUAGCUCAUUCGUCGUUCUGGGGCUCGAGCGCGGCCCCGCCCUCGUGCUACCUAACUCCCGGCUUGGCAUCGCCCGAAGGUCCAGCCCGAUGGAUUUUUCGCCUCCGACGCGAAACACAACACUUAUACCCACAAAGUACCCUCCCGGCUUGGCCUCGCCCGAAGGUCCAUUUUUCGCCUCUGACACGAAGUACAAGACUCCGGCUAGCCCGUUAGGUCGUAGCCCUGGAAUUGGACUCUGCAUAACCAACGUCAUCUGCCUUUUCCUCGACGUAAAUAAGGACCUCCGGUUAAGACUCCCCUCAAAGCUACCCGUUCCCCUGUGGAGUGGAACCCUCUAGUUCGGUGUUUCGGUGAUUUACAAAUUUUCUUGUAAAGGACUCUUGGAUCCGACUGAGAUCUGAACCCCUGGCCGAGAAAGCAUCCUUGCAAUAUGAAGCCCAUUUUUAAAAAAAUUUAAAUUAUGAAAAUAUAUUUGUUGGUUAUGUAGACUCAGAUUGGGGUGGAAAUCAGAAUGACAGAAAGAGUACAACUGGUUUUCUUUUUAAAACUCUAAUUUAAUUUGUUGGAAUACAAAGAGACAGAAUUCAGUAGCAGCUUCAUCCACAGAAGCAGAGUAUAUGGGCUUGUUUGAAGCUGUGAAGGAAGCAUUAUAUCCUAAGUCCCUUUUGGAAAGCAUUUAUAUUGAAUUUGAUGGUCCAAUAAAAAUAUUCGAAGAUAAUCAGGAUUGUAUAAGCAUAGCCAGUAAUCCUUCUUGUCAUAUAGAUAUUAAGUAUAAUUUUUCCAGAGAACAAAUAGAGAAUAAUGUUAUUUCCAUCGAGUAUAUUUCUACAGAAAAUCAGCUGGCGGACUUUUUCACGAAACCAUUACCUUCCGGAAGAUUUAUGGAAUUAAGAAGAAAAAUGGGACUACAUAAAGGUGACUAAACUUAACCACAACAAUGGAGAGACAAUGAAAACUAUUUUACAAUUCUAAUUUGUUUUAUUUAUAAUUUUAAUACUUUAAAAACUAUAUUUAACGUACCAAAUGAAUUGAUAAGACUAAAGUCAAGUUUGAAGUUAUGUAACUGAAGUUCCUUCUACAUUUUUUUAUUGAUAUUUGAAAAUAUUGUUAAGUACCUACAUAUAUCUAUAUAUAAUGAUCUGAUUGGGUUUUAUCUGGGUUUUCCCAAUCCUCGCAGCAAAUGCUGGGUCAUAUUGUAAUACCUCCCCAGAAUACAAUUCAGCCAUUUUUAAUGAAAAACGAAUAUAUUUUGAACGUAUAUUUUAAAAUAAUGUAAUUUUUGAGGGGGCGUUUUGAACAUAACAGUGUAUACGCCAUCCCUACUGUUAUGUACAUUACAAAAAUCAACAUUAUAGAAAUCCCUACUUUGAAUAUUCGGGCACACUUUCUGUUUAUCCUUCUCUUUCUGAUCCUCGUGUACAAGUGGCUGGUUGUGUGCAGAAAACAAGAAACAUAAAUUAAUAAUUAAAACAACGAUCAUAAAACAUA